AUGAACGCUGGCGGCGUGCCUAAUACAUGCCAGUCGAGCGAACAGACGAGGAGCUUGCUCCUCUGACGUUAGCGGCGGACGGGUGAGUAACACGUGGAUAACCUACCUAUAAGACUGGGAUAACUUCGGGAAACCGGAGCUAAUACCGGAUAAUAUAUUGAACCGCAUGGUUCAAUAGUGAAAGACGGUUUUGCUGUCACUUAUAGAUGGAUCCGCGCCGCAUUAGCUAGUUGGUAAGGUAACGGCUUACCAAGGCAACGAUGCGUAGCCGACCUGAGAGGGUGAUCGGCCACACUGGAACUGAGACACGGUCCAGACUCCUACGGGAGGCAGCAGUAGGGAAUCUUCCGCAAUGGGCGAAAGCUUGACGGAGCAACGCCGCGUGAGUGAUGAAGGUCUUCGGAUCGUAAAACUCUGUUAUUAGGGAAGAACAAAUGUGUAAGUAACUAUGCACGUCUUGACGGUACCUAAUCAAAAAGCCACGGCUAACUACGUG
rnacentral:rRNA from 1 species